CCAAGAGAUCGGGAUAACACCUGGAAACAGAUGCUAAUACCGGAUAACAACAGAUGAUGCCUAUCAACUGUUUAAAAGAUGGUUCUGCUAUCACUCUUGGAUGGACCUGCGGUGCAUUAGCUAGUUGGUAGGGUAACGGCCUACCAAGGCGAUGAUGCAUAGCCGAGUUGAGAGACUGAUCGGCCACAUUGGGACUGAGACACGGCCCAAACUCCUACGGGAGGCAGCAGUAC
rnacentral:rRNA from 1 species